UACGUAGGGUGCGAGCGUUAAUCGGAAUUACUGGGCGUAAAGCGUGCGCAGGCGGUUUUGUAAGCCAGAUGUGAAAUCCCCGGGCUUAACCUGGGAAUGGCAUUUGGGACUGCAAGGCUCGAGUGCGGCAGAGGAGACUGGAAUUCCUGGUGUAGCAGUGAAAUGCGUAGAUAUCAGGAGGAACACCGAUGGCGAAGGCAGGUCUCUGGGCUGACACUGACGCUCAUGCACGAAAGCGUGGGAGCGAACAAACG
rnacentral:rRNA from 1 species